GAGCGCGUAGCUCAACGGUAGAGCAGUACCCUCUUAAGGUAUUGGUUGAGAGUUCGAAUCUCUCCGCGCUCA
rnacentral:tRNA from 1 species